UACGGAGGAUCCGAGCGUUAUCCGGAUUUAUUGGGUUUAAAGGGUGCGUAGGCGGCCUUUUAAGUCAGCGGUGAAAGUCUGUGGCUCAACCAUAGAAUUGCCGUUGAAACUGGGGGGCUUGAGUAUGUUUGAGGCAGGCGGAAUGCGUGGUGUAGGGGUAAAAUCCGUAGAGAUCAAGAGGAAUACUCAUUGCGAAGGCGACCUGCUAGAACAUAACUGACGCUGAUGCGCGAAAGCGUGGGGAGCAAACAGG
rnacentral:rRNA from 1 species